AACCCUAUAAAAUAAAAGGGUCAGAAACAUCCCAAACGACUUAAAUUUCUCUUAUAAACCCUAACCCAAAAAAAAACCCCUAACUAAAAUCAACCAUGAAGACAGUAACAGGAAAGAUUGUUUCUUCAAAUCCUGUUUCAAUCUCCAAAGCCGCUUCAAUCCUUUCCAUGUUUGUCGCCGCGGAGACUGGUGCUUCCCAGGCUGUCGCCGCGUAUCUCCGACGCGCCACCACCGCUUUCGAUGAGUUAGUUCGCUUGCACUCGAAACCUAAUCGCAAAAAGCACAAAAAUCAAAAACCAGAUGCCUCUGCUAGUGUCGAGUUACCGAUAAAGGAGGUUGAAAAAACUGUGAAAGAUGAGGGUGAAAUGAUAAAUGAGGUUAAAGAAGAGAAGAGUGAAGGUGAAAGAAAGAAGAAAAAGAAGGAGAGAAGUGGCGAAAUUGGCAAGUUCGGUAAGGGCAAAAUGGAAAUUAGAAUAAAGGAAGAGGAGCGGAGUCAGGCUGCAAGUAAUUUAUUAGGGGAGGAAAUUGAGAGAAAGAAGGACAGGAAGAAGAACAAGAAGAAAGAAAGUGCCAAUAUUGGUAAUUGUGAGGAAAAUGGGAGUGAAAUUGGGAACAACGUGAAAAUUAAGGAAGAAGAGAAUCAUUUUGGGGAAGAUAAGGGGAAAAUGGUAAUUAAUGAGGAAAAGAAGAAGAGGAAGAGUAGAGAGGCUGAUGAUCAGGAAAGUAGUGAUAAGAAGAAGAAGAAAAAGAGGAGAAAAGAGGAUAAUUGAGUGAAAAUGAAGGCUUAAUGACUUUGGCGUAUGUUGUUAUGGUAAUUUUCAUGGGGGGCAGUACAUCACCAGGUACAAUAUCAAAAGAUACAGAGCAAUGUCAUGCCGAAACGUCUCCUGUCGAGUCUCAACUAUUGUUAAAGGAGUCAUACUUCCUUCACUUAAAUGGAAGUUGAUUUAGCAGCUCCUUCCAAAAGGUCUUGAGUGCAAAUAAAAGAAUCUCCUGGAUAAGCUUCACUUCAUGUGUCACUAAGGAGCGAUCAGUUCUCCGUUUCAGUGGAUUGGGACUUGGUAUUGGGAUGACAGUUCUGUUUCAUCAUUCUGCCAUUUGCAUUUGAACAUAUGAAGCAAAUAAAUAGCCAAGCUGAACAGUGACUGAUGAACCUAUUGACAAAUGCCUAGUGCAACUUCUAGUCUUAUGCUUUCUUAUUGCAGUUUGCUUUUUCAAACCUGUUGAGAAUGGGGUUUUGUUUGUGCUUUUCAUUUUUGCAGUUUGAUAUAUCAGCUCUUCAACUCUGAGGAGACUUAAUUCUACCUCAAGUAAAUUGUCACACUUCUUACUUGCCUCCAUAGGGCACUGUGCCAUUAUUGAUUUAAAUAAAGAUAUGCUUGGGGAUUAUCAAGAA